UACGUAGGGCGCAAGCGUUGUCCGGAAUUAUUGGGCGUAAAGAGCUCGUAGGCGGUUUGUCGCGUCUGCUGUGAAAACCUCAGGCUCAACCUGGGGCUUGCAGUGGGUACGGGCAGACUAGAGUGCGGUAGGGGUGACUGGAAUUCCUGGUGUAGCGGUGGAAUGCGCAGAUAUCAGGAGGAACACCGAUGGCGAAGGCAGGUCACUGGGCCGCAACUGACGCUGGAGGAG
rnacentral:rRNA from 1 species